rnacentral:rRNA from 1 species
UACGGAGGGUGCAAGCGUUAUCCGGAUUCACUGGGUUUAAAGGGUGUGUAGGUGGCGCGCUAAGUCGGGUGUGAAAUUUCGGAGCUUAACUCCGAAACUGCAUUCGAUACUGGCGUGCUUGAGGACUGGAGAGGAGACUGGAAUUCAUGGUGUAGCAGUGAAAUGCGUAGAGAUCAUGAGGAAGACCAGUGGCGAAGGCGGGUCUCUGGACAGUUCCUGACACUGAGGCACGAAGGUCAGGGGAGCAAACGGG